rnacentral:rRNA from 1 species
GGUGCUGCAUGGCUGUCGUCAGCUCGUGUCGUGAGAUGUUGGGUUAAGUCCCGCAACGAGCGCAACCCUUAAGCUUAGUUGCCAGCAUUCAGUUGGGCACUCUAAGGUGACUGCCGGUGACAAACCGGAGGAGGGUGGGGAUGACGUCAAAUCAUCAUGCCCCUUAUGACCUGGGCUACACACGUGCUACAAUGGACGGUACAAACGGUUGCCAACCCGCGAGGGGGAGCUAAUCCGAUAAAACCGUUCUCAGUUCGGAUUGUAGGCUGCAACUCGCCUACAUGAAGCCGGAAUCGCUAGUAAUCGUGGAUCAGCAUGCCACGGUGAAUACGUUCCCGGGUCUUGUACACACC